AGGCUCCAAAAGCUUGUUACUUGCUUGUAGUCAAACAGAAGGCAGAGCUGCGAAUCAAAUCCAGGUUUGUCUCGACAUGCCACUAGCUCAUACUUCCCUUGGAUCAGCCACUAAAUGGCUUUCACUCCAGUGAGCAGCGACCAGCACCAGAAUUAUGGAACAUUUAUCAACAGCCUAAAAUAAAGACAACACGAGGAGAAUUUGGUUGCUUAUAUAGAUUCAAGAUACAAUCCUGCUGGAUUCUGGGAUUACAGGACUGUAGACAAAAGAGAAAUCAUCAUGGACUGUUCACUGGACAAAAUUUCAUGGAGAGGAGAAGACCUUUGGCGGUUCAUGGAUGUUCUAUAAUAAGUUAGAAGAAAUAUCACAGUGUGCAUGCACAGAAGUACGACCAUGUGAAGAGGUAGCAAGAGAGCAGCAAUCUACAAGCCAAGGAAAGAGGCCACAGAGGAAACCAACCCUGCCAGCAUCUUGAUCUUGGACUUCCAGCUUCCAGAACUAACCAGGGACCCCACUCCCAUGCCGACAGUAUGGGCUGCUGUCUUCAGGACCAUUGCAAGUGUCCUUCAUGGUUCGGUUCACAUUUCACAAGCCCCAUGAAGUCUAUCUGGAUUUUCGGUAAUGUUUCCUGUCUCUGAAAUCUUAUGACAUUUAUGUCUGUAUCAGCCAUUUGAUGCUUGAUUAUCUAUUUUUCAGAUGGAUGUCUUGCCUUUUCCUCUACACACUACAGGAAGAGUGGCCACCCCUGCCAAGGGCCUAGUAUAGUACCCUAUACAUGUAGCUGAUCAGUUGAUUGUUACUGAUCAUAUGUAUCCUGCAUCAUGUUAUAAAAAAUUAACACAGUGCUUGGCACAUACUUGUACUGAAUGUCAGAGCUGCAGCAUGAUCUGGAGGCUUUCCUCGCUUUCUUCUGCUUCCCCUCCCUUGAUCCUUCACAGGCAUUUUCCUCAAUACAUCUCUUGCCUGGCUAA
rnacentral:sRNA from 1 species